AACGCAUAUUGCGCUCUUUGGUAUUCCGAAGAGCAUGCUUGUUUGAGUAUCAGUAAACACCUCAACUUUUUUUUUUUCUUGAAAAAAGAAAAGUUGGAUUUGAGCAAACCCAACACUUUUUUAAAUAAGAGUGGCGGGUUGCUUGAAAUGCAGGUGCAGCUGUAACAAGAACAGACUGAGCUAAAAGCAUAUCUAUUUGAUCCGUCUCGGCGGGCCAUCUCUAUUUGCUGCAGCUACUCUAAGGUCAUCUUGUCGAGCUGACUGAUGCAGGAUUUGUCAGGACGCAAGUUCUUUCAAAACUCGAUCUCAAAUCAAGUAAGACUACCCGCUGAACUUAA
rnacentral:misc_RNA from 1 species